rnacentral:rRNA from 1 species
UCGUAUGGUACCGUCAGCCCCGGAGUGAAUCCGGGGGUUUCUUCCCAUAUAAAAGGAGUUUACAACCCUGAGGGCAGUCAUCCUCCACGCGGCAUGGCUGGUUCAGGCUUUCGCCCAUUGACCAAUAUUCCCU